GGGAAUUGGGUAUAGGGGACUUUCAGGAUAGCAUUUGAAAUGUAAAGGAAGAAAAUAAUAAAAAAUUGAAAAAAGAGAAAAUAUUCAUAAGUUUAAUAGUAAGCUCUUUAUUAUGUAGCACCUAUAUUCCUAGAAAGUAAAGACAAGAAAAGACGUCUAUAGCAUUAUCAUACAUUAGUAUGGCUGUGGAAAAAGAAAUAAAGAGAUGAACUGGAUGUUUGUACUCAGCAGUUGGUGUUUUGUUUGUUUGAAUCUAAGAGUUUAUCAAUAUAUCUAUGAUAUGCAGAACCAUUUCCAGUGCUUCCUGAGCAAUUUUAUUGUUAUUAUGCAUGAAUAAUUGCAUUAUGUUCUGAAGUAGAAAGACUUUCUGAGUUUCAUUACAUCAAAAAAAAAAAAACCCAAAGCUAAAUGUGCCCCAUUUAAAACAUUAAAUUAUGUCUCUCUGCGAUGUUUUUACUGUGCAGAAAAUAGCUUGAAAUGUGAGACAAGCUAAUGAAGGAACAGACUGAAAUUUGCUUGAGCCAUUGUUUGAUCCACUGAGAAAACUACUGAAAGGCCUUUUUUUAUGUUUCUACCUUGAAACAGUUGAAUGACUUUAUGCAAAGGGUGCUGGGAAUGCAGCUACUCUGCUUUCUUAUUUGAGCCUUUUGCAAGCUGAGAAAUUUAUUUGUAUAAAAGAAUUUUUUUAAACUUACCAAGUUUCUAAGUAUGCCAGUGAUAAUAGUUUUUUCUAGGAAACAGAAAUAUGAAAUGCCUUGUUUCAGCAGAUAAAAAUGGUCUUUCAUGACAGCAUAAAGGGGGCAUUAAAGACCGGACAGCAGAAGGAAGGGUCAUGCUUUAGCCAAUACUGUCUUGUAAUUCCUCCUGUUUAUUAUCUUUGGCAGUAAUGCCAUGAAAUAUCAGUUCAUUAGUUCCCUGAGUUUUAGCUCAACUUUUGUAUUGUUUACAGGCAAACAUGACAAAAGGUAAUGAUUAAGGUUAAUAAAUCAAUAAUGCAUAAUUUGUUUCAAAACAGUGUAAAUUCUAAACUGAAGACGCCACUGAUGAUUUCUGAAAUGCCUGAAGAGUUUAUCAUUUGCUCUAUGAGAUCACUUCGUGUUAUGUGAACUUACUGUGAUUGUUGGCCUAUAUUUUUUAAAUGUUUAUAUUGUAAAUUUUGGAAUUUUAUUACAGUAUGGGUUAUAAGAAUUAUCAUUCUUAUCUGAGAAGGAAUGUCAUAUUGUCAUAUGAUGGGUGUUGUGGGGGAGGAGGGUCAGCUUUCUUAGAGGAUGGGGCCAUUGAGCAAGUGCUCUCCCAUCUCACUGGAUGGAAUGUUCUUAUUAAUGCCUGAAUAACAUGGGUUAACUAUAUACAUUGUGCUCAUAAUAUUUGAAGAGAUGUAUAGGAUGUAUAGCAUUCCUAAAUAAAUCUAGUUCACCUGUAAUUCUUAUUGUUGUUCAACAUCACAUUGAGUUUUCUUUUCUGUCAUUUUCUUCAUUGACCUUUGUCAUUCUGAUCGAUGUAAGGUGGAAUUUUAGAGACCUUUUAAUUUGCAUUUCCCUGAUCAUUAAGAACUUUGGACGUUUCUAUAAAUGCUUCUCAGCAAUUCAAGAUGCCUUGGUUGAGAACUCUCUUAGACGUGUACCCCAUUCUUAAUAGUUAUAUUUGAUUCUCUGGAGUCUAACUUCAUGAGUUCUUUGUACAUAUUAGAUAUUAACUCUCAAUUGGAUACAGGGUUAGUAAAGAUCUUUUCCUAAUGUUUAGGCUGCUGUUUUGUCCUUUUGACAGUGUCCUUUGCCUUACAGAAGUUUGAAAUUUUAUGAGGUCCCAUUUGUCUAAAGUUGAUCUUGGAGCGUAAGCUAUUGGUGUUCUGUUCAACAAACUUUCCCCUGUGCCCAUGUUUUUGAGGCCUUUUCCCACAUUCUCUUCUAUUAGUUUCAGUGUAUCUGGUUUUAUGUAGACGUCCUUGAUUUACUUGGACUUGAGCUUUGUACAAGGAGAUAAGAAUGGAUCAAUUUCCAUCUUUCUUUAUGCUGAUCUCCAGUCGAACGAGCAAUGUUUGCUGAAAAUAAUGUCAUUUUUUUCCCACUGGAUGAUUUUAGCUCCUUUGUCAAAGAUCAAGUGACCACAGGUGUGUGGGUUCAUUUCUGGGUCUUCAAUUCUACUCCAUUGAUCUUCCUGCUUGUCUCUGUAUAAAUACCAUACAGUUUUUAACACCAUUUCUCUGUAAUACAGCUUGAGGUCAGGGAUGGUGACCAGAAGUUCUUUUAUUGUUGAGAAUAGUUUUUGAUAUCCUAGGUUUUUUGUUGUUCCAAAUGAAUUUUCAAAUCACUCUUUCUAACUCUAUGAAGAAUUGAGUUGGGAUUUUGAUGGGAAUUUCAUUUAAUCUGUAGAUUCCUUUCAACAAGAUGGCCAUUUUUUUAUUAUAUUAAUCCUACCAAUCCAUGAGCAUGGAUCUUCUUUAAUUUCUUUCUUUAGAGAUUUGCAGUUUUGUCAUUUUAUCCUGAUAUGCUCAUUCUAGCUUUUCUUUCCUCUUUCCUCUGCACUCUGAGGUCAUAUUCAAAGCAUAUAACAUGAAGCCCAUGGGAAAUAACUACACCUAAAUGCAAUAUUAAAAAAAAAGAAUUCAGUGAAUAAAUAACCAUGUGGGUGGCUAUCUUAUAAUAUCUUUCCCUAAGGGUUAAGUUGUCAAGAUUCAUCUUGCUCCCUACAAGAUUCAUCUUGUUCUUAUGGAACAUUCUCUAGCAACUCUACCUUAAGUUGGUCACCAUCUUCUCUGAUCUUUCUCAUACACAACAGCCUUCGGAAAUUCUGUAUCAUCUUGGCUUAUUUGUGAUAGUUAAUCAUCCUACUACACAGUACUAAAUGAUAACCUUUUGUUCUCAUAUUUUUUAUCAUGCAUUUUUAGAGGUACAGUUAGGGGCAUUGGCAUUUAUCAUGCUUUCAUUGAUUGAAUCCUUUAUUCUUAGUUUUCAAAAUGAUUUAAAUUAACAAGUGAUGUUGGCUACCAGAAAUGGUCAAGAAUUUUGAGUGGAUUUAUGGGCUCAUGCUGUAAUGAAAUGUACUUUAUGAUAUCCUCUAUGUAAUAGGAAGGAACUGUACUUAAGACCAACCUCCUUAUACCUUGCAGUUUUCAGAUCUGGUUUUAAUUGUAAAGUAGUUGGGAUAAGUAACAGAAAAAUAAUUUUCAUAAGACUUAAAAGUUUUCUAAUACCAAGAUUUUAAAAAGUGACUUCAAUAUCAAUUCUAUGAAAACUAUGUUUUAAAAAAUUUCGGUGGUAUCAGAAGCUAAAUAAACAAAAGAGGGCAAUAUUUGAUUUAUUGUACUCUU
rnacentral:lncRNA from 1 species